rnacentral:lncRNA from 1 species
UGUGUUGUUUGUGUGAGAGUUUAGAGCCUUUAUAUAGAGUUUACAAACACCCUUUGAAGGUUUCUGAAGGUGUAUGAGUUGUUUGGAGUGAAGAGAUUUCGUUUGGAGUGAACACCUUUCACUUUGAAAUCUGAAAAGCACUUCCAACAGCUCUCAGUAAUGGGUUACUCAUUUGAGUAAUGGGUUACUCAAACUUUCUGUCCA